UACGUAGGGUGCGAGCGUUGUCCGGAAUUAUUGGGCGUAAAGAGCUCGUAGGCGGUGUGUCACGUCGUUCGUGAAAACCUGCAGCUUAACUGUGGGCGUGCGGUCGAUACGGGCAUCACUGGAGUUCGGCAGGGGAGACUGGAAUUCCUGGUGUAGCGGUGAAAUGCGCAGAUAUCAGGAGGAACACCGAUUGCGAAGGCAGCUCGCUGGAACGUUACUGACGCUGGAGACGCGAAAGCGUGGGGAGCAAACAGG
rnacentral:rRNA from 1 species